GUAGCCGUCCGGUAAAACCUGCCCGAACAACUUUGAAUCAUCACGGACGGAUUACAAGGGGCUACGGACUAUGACGAACCAUCGCGAACGCACUUUCUCUGCACUCCGAAGGCAGAGGCCACAGGUUCGAAUCCUGUCGGGUGCGCCA
rnacentral:tRNA from 1 species